AAGAUAUUAGUAAAAUGAUUACAAGGCCUUGUCAGGGCCUAAUUACUAGUUUGAGCCUUGUAUAUCUUA
rnacentral:tRNA from 2 species